rnacentral:rRNA from 1 species
AACAGGAUUAGAUACCCUGGUAGUCCACGCCGUAAACGAUGUCGACUAGCCGUUGGGCUCCUUGAGAGCUUUGUGGCGCAGUUAACGCGAUAAGUCGACCGCCUGGGGAGUACGGCCGCAAGGUUAAAACUCAAAUGAAUUGACGGGGGCCCGCACAAGCGGUGGAGCAUGUGGUUUAAUUCGAUGCAACGCGAAGAACCUUACCUACCCUUGACAUCGUGCGAACUUUCCAGAGAUGGAUUGGUGCCUUCGGGAACGCACAGACAGGUGCUGCAUGGCUGUCGUCAGCUCGUGUUGUGAAAUGUUGGGUUAAGUCCCGUAACGAGCGCAACCCUUGUCCUUAUUUGCCAGCGAGUCAUGUCGGGAACUCUAAGGAGACUGCCGGUGACAAACCGGAGGAAGGUGGGGACGACGUCAAGUCAUCAUGGCCCUUACGGGUAGGGCUACACACGUGCUACAAUGGCCGGUACAAAGGGUUGCGAAGCCGCGAGGUGGAGCUAAUCCCGAAAAGCUGGUCUCAGUCCGGAUCGGAGUCUGCAACUCGACUCCGUGAAGUCGGAAUCGCUAGUAAUCGUGAAUCAGAAUGUCACGGUGAAUACGUUCCCGGGCCUUGUACACACCGCCCGUCACACCAUGGGAGUGGACUGCACCAGAAGUGGUUAGCCUAACUUCGGGGGGCGAUCACCACGGUGUGGUUCAUGACUGGGGUGAAGUCGUAACAAGGUAACC